rnacentral:rRNA from 1 species
UACAGAGGAUGCAAGCGUUAUCCGGAAUUAUUGGGCGUAAAGCGUCUGUAGGUGGCUUUUUAAGUCCGCCGUCAAAUCCCAGGGCUCAACUCUGGACAGGCGGUGGAAACUACCAAGCUGGAGUACGGGAGGGGCAGAGGGAAUUUCCGGUGGAGCGGUGAAAUGCGUAGAGAUCGGAAAGAACACCAACGGCGAAAGCACUCUGCUGGGCCGACACUGACACUGAGGAGCGACAGCGUGGGGAGCAAACAGG